rnacentral:rRNA from 1 species
GUGCUUAACACAUGCAAGUCGAACGGAAAGGCCCUGUUUUUGUGGGGUGCUCGAGUGGCGAACGGGUGAGUAACACGUGAGUAACCUGCCCUUGACUUUGGGAUAACUUCAGGAAACUGGGGCUAAUACCGGAUAGGAGCUCCUGCUGCAUGGUGGGGGUUGGAAAGUUUCGGCGGUUGGGGAUGGACUCGCGGCUUAUCAGCUUGUUGGUGGGGUAGUGGCUUACCAAGGCUUUGACGGGUAGCCGGCCUGAGAGGGUGACCGGCCACAUUGGGACUGAGAUACGGCCCAGACUCCUACGGGAGGCAGCAGUGGGGAAUAUUGCACAAUGGGCGGAAGCCUGAUGCAGCAACGCCGCGUGCGGGAUGACGGCCUUCGGGUUGUAAACCGCUUUCGCCUGUGACGAAGCGUGAGUGACGGUAAUGGGUAAAGAAGCACCGGCUAACUACGUGCCAGCAGCCGCGGUGAUACGUAGGGUGCGAGCGUUGUCCGGAUUUAUUGGGCGUAAAGGGCUCGUAGGUGGUUGAUCGCGUCGGAAGUGUAAUCUUGGGGCUUAACCCUGAGCGUGCUUUCGAUACGGGUUGACUUGAGGAAGGUAGGGGAGAAUGGAAUUCCUGGUGGAGCGGUGGAAUGCGCAGAUAUCAGGAGGAACACCAGUGGCGAAGGCGGUUCUCUGGGCCUUUCCUGACGCUGAGGAGCGAAAGCGUGGGGAGCGAACAGGCUUAGAUACCCUGGUAGUCCACGCUGUAAACGGUGGGUACUAGGUGUGGGGUCCAUUCCACGGGUUCCGUGCCGUAGCUAACGCUUUAAGUACCCCGCCUGGGGAGUACGGCCGCAAGGCUAAAACUCAAAGGAAUUGACGGGGCCCCGCACAAGCGGCGGAGCAUGCGGAUUAAUUCGAUGCAACGCGUAGAACCUUACCUGGGUUUGACAUGGAUCGGGAGUGCUCAGAGAUGGGUGUGCCUCUUUUGGGGUCGGUUCACAGGUGGUGCAUGGCUGUCGUCAGCUCGUGUCGUGAGAUGUUGGGUUAAGUCCCGCAACGAGCGCAACCCUUGUUCACUGUUGCCAGCACGUUAUGGUGGGGACUCAGUGGAGACCGCCGGGGUCAACUCGGAGGAAGGUGGGGAUGACGUCAAGUCAUCAUGCCCCUUAUGUCCAGGGCUUCACGCAUGCUACAAUGGCUGGUACAGAGAGUGGCGAGCCUGUGAGGGUGAGCGAAUCUCGGAAAGCCGGUCUCAGUUCGGAUUGGGGUCUGCAACUCGACCUCAUGAAGUCGGAGUCGCUAGUAAUCGCAGAUCAGCAACGCUGCGGUGAAUACGUUCCCGGGGCUUGUACACACCGCCCGUCAAGUCAUGAAAGUUGGUAACACCCGAAGCCGGUGGCCUAACCGUUGUGGGGGAGCCGUCGAAGGUGGGACUGGUGAUU